CUACAGCUGUGGAGCUCGGUGCGAGUCCAAAACCGAGCAUUCCCGUGGGCCUGCAGUCGGCGGAAGGGUCCCAGGCCCAGAGCGAGCGGGGCCGGGCUCAGACGGCGUACGUGCCCUGCGUGAGUGCGUGGCGGCGGCGCGUGCGCGAGGGGAGUGGGCAGUGAGGCCUGGUCCACGUGCGUCCCUUCCCGGGACCCCCGCAGCUUAGCGCCCAGCGGCUACGUGAGCCGAGCACCCGGAUGUCCUCGCCCCUCUCCGAGUGAUCAGUCCCGUCCUUUGGUCCCGCAGUGCCCUUAGCCCUGGCCGGCGUCCACGCAUUGCCAUGGUGACUGUGGGCAACUACUGCGAGGCCGAAGGGCCCGUGGGUCCGGCCUGGAUGCAGGAUGGCCUGAGCCCCUGCUGCUUCUUCACGCUGGUGCCCUCGACGCGGAUGGCGCUGGGGGCUCUGGCCUUGGUGCUGGCUCUUCCCUGCAGACCCCGGGAGCGGCCCGCUGGUACUGAUUCGCUGUCUUGGGGGGCCGGCCCUCGCGUCUCUCCCUACGUGCUGCAGCUGCUUCUGGCCACAUUUCAGGUGGCGCUGCCCCUAGCCGGCCUGGCUGGCCGGGUGGGCACUGCCCGGGGGACCCCACUGCCAAGCUACCUACUGCUGGCCUCCGUGCUGGAGAGUCUGGCCGGCGCCUGUGGCCUGUGGCUGCUCGUCGUGGAGCGGAGCCAGGCACGGCAGCGUCUGGCAAUGGGCAUUUGGAUCAAGUUCAGGCACAGCCCGGGUCUCCUGCUUCUCUGGACUGUGGCGUUUGCAGCCGAGAACUUGGCACUGGUGUCUUGGAACAGCCCACAGUGGUGGUGGGCAAGGGCGGACUUGGGCCAGCAGGUUCAGUUUAGCCUGUGGGUGCUGCGGUAUGUGGUCUCUGGAGGGCUGUUUGUCCUGGGUCUCUGGGCCCCUGGACUUCGUCCCCAGUCCUAUACAUUGCAGGUUCAUGAAGAGGACCAAGAUGUGGAAAGGAGCCAGGUUCAGUCAACAGCCCAACAGUCUACCUGGCGAGAUUUUGGCAGGAAGCUCCGCCUCCUGAGUGGCUACCUGUGGCCUCGAGGGAGUCCAGCUCUGCAGCUGGUGGUGCUCAUCUGCCUGGGGCUCAUGGGUUUGGAAAGGGCACUCAACGUGUUGGUGCCUAUAUUCUAUAGGAACAUUGUGAACUUGCUGACUGAGAAGGCACCUUGGAGCUCUCUGGCCUGGACUGUUACCAGCUACGUCUUCCUCAAGUUCCUCCAGGGGGGUGGCACUGGCAGUACAGGCUUCGUGAGCAACCUGCGCACCUUCUUGUGGAUCCGGGUGCAGCAGUUCACAUCUCGGCGGGUGGAGCUGCGCAUCUUCUCCCACCUGCAUGAGCUCUCACUGCGCUGGCACCUGGGGCGCCGCACAGGGGAGGUGCUGCGGAUCGCGGAUCGGGGCACAUCCAGUGUCACAGGGCUGCUCAGCUACCUGGUGUUCAAUGUCAUCCCCACGCUGGCCGACAUCGUCAUUGGCAUCAUCUACUUCAGCAUGUUCUUCAACGCCUGGUUUGGCCUCAUUGUGUUCCUGUGCAUGAGUCUUUACCUCACCCUGACCAUUGUGGUCACUGAGUGGAGAACCAAGUUUCGCCGCGCUAUGAACACACAGGAAAAUGCUACCCGGGCACGAGCAGUGGACUCUCUGCUAAACUUUGAGACGGUGAAGUAUUACAACGCCGAGAGUUAUGAAGUGGAACGCUAUCGAGAGGCCAUCAUCAAAUAUCAGGGUUUGGAGUGGAAGUCCAACGCUUCACUGGUUUUACUAAAUCAGACCCAGAACCUGGUGAUUGGGCUUGGGCUCCUCGCCGGCUCCCUGCUUUGUGCAUACUUUGUCAGUGAGCAGAAACUACAGGUUGGGGACUAUGUGCUCUUUGGUACCUACAUCAUCCAGCUGUACAUGCCCCUCAAUUGGUUUGGCACCUACUACAGGAUGAUCCAGACCAACUUCAUUGACAUGGAGAACAUGUUUGACUUGCUUAAAGAGGAGACAGAAGUGAAGGACCUUCCUGGAGCAGGGCCCCUUCGCUUUCAGAAGGGCCGAAUUGAGUUUGAGAACGUGCACUUCAGCUACGCCGAUGGGCAGGAGACUCUGCAGGACGUGUCUUUCACUGUGAUGCCUGGACAGACACUGGCCCUGGUGGGCCCAUCUGGGGCAGGGAAGAGCACAAUUUUGCGCCUGCUGUUUCGCUUCUAUGACAUCAGCUCUGGCUGCAUCCGAAUAGACGGGCAGGACAUUUCACAGGUGACCCAGGCCUCUCUCCGGUCUCACAUUGGAGUUGUGCCCCAAGAUACUGUUCUCUUUAAUGACACCAUCGCUGACAAUAUCCGUUACGGCCGUGUCACAGCUGGGAAUGAUGAGGUGGAGGCUGCUGCUCAGGCUGCAGGCAUCCAUGAUGCCAUUAUGGCUUUCCCUGAAGAAACGUGUGGUGGGUAAUAUCCACAGGGUACAGGACACAGGUGGGUGAGCGGGGACUGAAGCUGAGCGGUGGGGAAAAGCAGCGCGUCGCCAUUGCCCGCACCAUCCUCAAGGCUCCGGACAUCAUUCUGCUGGAUGAGGCAACGUCAGCGCUGGAUACAUCUAAUGAGAGGGCCAUCCAGGCUUCUCUGGCCAAAGUCUGUGCCAACCGCACUACCAUCGUAGUGGCACACAGGCUCUCAACUGUGGUCAAUGCUGACCAGAUCCUCGUCAUCAAGGAUGGCUGCAUCGUGGAGAGGGGACGGCAUGAGGCUCUGUUGUCCCGAGGUGGGGUGUAUGCUGACAUGUGGCAGCUGCAGCAGCAGGGACAGGAAGAAACCUCUGAAGACACUAUGCCUCAGACCAUGGAACGAUGACAAAAGUUUGGCCACUUCCCUCUCAAAGACUAACCCAGAAGGGAAUAAGAUGUACGCCCCUUCCCUAGCUUAUUUCAUCCUGGUCUUGGGGUGCGGUGCUAGCUAUAGUAAGGGAAAGGGACCUUUCAGAAAAACACCUUUUGGGGAAAUAAAAAUGUGGCCUGUGUGA